GAACUACUCUCUCCGUUUGGAAUUACUUGUCGCAGAAAUGGAUAUAUCUAGAUGUAUUUUAGUUCUAGAUACAUCCAUUUCCGAGACAAGUAAUUCCGAACGGAGGGAGUAGUUC
rnacentral:pre_miRNA from 1 species